CCUACGGGAGGCAGCAGUAGGGAAUCUUCCACAAUGGGCGAAAGCCUGAUGGAGCAACGCCGCGUGGGUGAAGAAGGUCUUCGGAUCGUAAAACCCUGUUGUUAGAGAAGAAAGUGCGUGAGAGUAACUGUCCACGUUUCGACGGUAUCUAACCAGAAAGCCACGGCUAACUACGUGCCAGCAGCCGCGGUAAUACGUAGGUGGCAAGCGUUAUCCGGAUUUAUUGGGCGUAAAGGGAAGCCAGGCGGUCUUUUAAGUCUGAUGGGAAAGCCUUCGGCUUAACCGGCGUAGUGCAUUGGAAACUGGGGGACUUGAGGGCAGGAGAGGAGAGUGGAACUCCAUGUGUAGCGGUGAAAUGCGUAGAUAUAUGGAAGAACACCAGUGGCGAAGGCGGCUCUCUGGUCUGUAACUGACGCUGAGGUUCGAAAGCGUGGGUAGCAAACAGGAUUAGAUACCCGAGUAGUC
rnacentral:rRNA from 1 species